rnacentral:rRNA from 1 species
CGUACACACGUACUACAAUGGCUAUAACAGAGGGAAGCGAAAUAAGUGAUAUAGAGCAAAACCCUAAAAAACGGUACUCAGUUCGGAUUGAAGGCUGAAAUUCGCCUUCAUGAAGCUGGAAUUGCUAGUAAUGGCAGGUCAGCAUACUGCCGUGAAUACGUUCCCGGGCCUUGUACACACCGCCCCGUCAAACCAUGAGAGUCACCAACACCCGAAGUCCGCCUUGGCGGCCUAAGGUGGGGGAGAUGAUUGGGGUUAAGUCGUAACAAGGUACC